rnacentral:rRNA from 1 species
ACCAGACUCCUACGGGAGGCAGCAGUGGGGAAUAUUGCACAAUGGGGGGAACCCCGAUGCAGCGACGCCGCGUGAGGGAAGAAGGUUUUCGGAUUGUAAACCUCUGUCCUCUGUGACGAUAAUGACGGUAGCAGAGGAGGAAGCCACGGCUAACUACGUGCCAGCAGCCGCGGUAAUACGUAGGUGGCGAGCGUUAUCCGGAAUUACUGGGUGUAAAGGGAGCGUAGACGGCCAGACAAGUCAGAAGUGAAAGCCCAGGGCUCAACCCUGGGACUGCUUUUGAAACUGCCGGGCUGGAGUGCAGGAGAGGUAAGCGGAAUUCCUAGUGUAGCGGUGAAAUGCGUAGAUAUUAGGAGGAACACCAGUGGCGAAGGCGGCUUACUGGACUGUAACUGACGUUGAGGCUCGAAAGCGUGGGGAGCAAACAGGAUUAGAUACCCCGGUA